rnacentral:rRNA from 1 species
AGAGUUUGAUCAUGGCUCAGGAUGAACGCUGGCGGCGUGCUUAACACAUGCAAGUCGAACGGUGAACGAGGGAGCUUGCUCCCUCCGGAUCAGUGGCGAACGGGUGAGUAACACGUGAGUAACCUGCCCUUGACUCUGGGAUAAGCGUUGGAAACGACGUCUAAUACCGGAUACGACCCUCGGAGGCAUCUCCAGGGGGUGGAAAGAACUUCGGUCAAGGAUGGACUCGCGGCCUAUCAGCUUGUUGGUGAGGUAACGGCUCACCAAGGCGACGACGGGUAGCCGGCCUGAGAGGGUGACCGGCCACACUGGGACUGAGACACGGCCCAGACUCCUACGGGAGGCAGCAGUGGGGAAUAUUGCACAAUGGGCGAAAGCCUGAUGCAGCAACGCCGCGUGAGGGACGACGGCCUUCGGGUUGUAAACCUCUUUUAGUAGGGAAGAAGCGAAAGUGACGGUACCUGCAGAAAAAGCACCGGCUAACUACGUGCCAGCAGCCGCGGUAAUACGUAGGGUGCAAGCGUUAUCCGGAAUUAUUGGGCGUAAAGAGCUCGUAGGCGGUUUGUCGCGUCUGCUGUGAAAACCCGAGGCUCAACCUCGGGCCUGCAGUGGGUACGGGCAGACUAGAGUGCGGUAGGGGAGAUUGGAAUUCCUGGUGUAGCGGUGGAAUGCGCAGAUAUCAGGAGGAACACCGAUGGCGAAGGCAGAUCUCUGGGCCGUAACUGACGCUGAGGAGCGAAAGCAUGGGGAGCGAACAGGAUUAGAUACCCUGGUAGUCCAUGCCGU